rnacentral:rRNA from 1 species
AGGACGAACGCUGGCGGCGUGCUUAACACAUGCAAGUGGAGCGACGAACCAGGGCUUGCCCUGGGGCAGAGCCGCGAACGGGUGAGUAACACGUGGGUUACCUGCCUUGAUGACUGGGACAACCCGGGGAAACUCGGGCUAAUACCGGAUGUGCCCGCAAGGGGAAAGGAAGCUUCGGCCUCCGCAUCAAGAUGGGCCCGCGGCCCAUUAGCUUGUUGGUGAGGUAACGGCUCACCAAGGCUUCGAUGGGUAGCUGGUCUGAGAGGACGAUCAGCCACACUGGGACUGAGACACGGCCCAGACUCCUACGGGAGGCAGCAGUGGGGAAUCUUGCGCAAUGCGCGAAAGCGUGACGCAGCAACGCCGCGUGGGGGAAGAAGGCUUUCGGGUUGUAAACCCCUUUCAGUUUGGGACGAAGCUUCGACGGUGAAUAGCCGUUUGGAGUGACGGUACCUUCAGAAGAAGCCCCGGCUAACUACGUGCCAGCAGCCGCGGU